ensembl:lncRNA
GAAUCCACCAUGACAAUUCUCACGGUGUGCCGAAAUAACAAAAAUAUUUGAAAACAUUUUCAAAGGAGAAUAACUGACUGUAGCAUUGUUUUUCAGAUAAACAAGUAUGUGAACUUAUCAUGUUUCUUAAAUAUCUGCAAACAAAUGUUAUUUUUAUGCUUUAGUAGGCUAGUCAAAAACUUACAUACAGCACCUUUAAGUUACAUCUCCGCUCUUGAGAGGCAGAUUUGAUACUCAUCAAACAUAAGUGAGGCAACAAACUCUCCACAGCACUUCUUGUUGCAGUGAUUGUUUGGAUGUAUAGAAACAAGAAAGUUUUCAAUUUCCUUCAAUUUCGCUUUAGACUUUUGCUAAAAGAGACACAACAGUGUUUAGAGACAGAAAGUGUUUAAACUACGCCCAGACAUGAAGCCUCCGCUUUCUCUAUGACACUUGUAGAUUAGAAACCUGAGAAAGCCACAAUACAUCUAUUAAGCCAGUGGUUUAGUGUAUCCCAUCAUGCAUCAUGUUGUGGAAAUAAAUCGCGAGACAUUUUGCCAAGAUCGCGAGAAGUCAUGGAAACCUUUCCAAUGGUGGGUGAAGUCAUGCCAGACACACACACUCCCUUUAUCCAUAAUCUCUCAGUCAUCCUAUAUAAACCCACCCCAGCUUCAGGUCUACAAAUACCCAAAACCCACAUGCAAGCCCUUGACAACGAGGACAGCAAGGCAAGAAGGAGAAAAGGCAGGACUGUCAAACAACUCCUGAAGAAACUUCUAAAGGACAGACUAAUUCACCAAGAAGGUAAUCAUUAAAAACACAAUAUACUUUAAUUCAAUUCUGAAUUUUGUUCUAGUAACUGUACUGACUUUGCUCUAGUUUUUACCAUUCCUAAUUGGUUUAUUGUGUUUGCAGUUAUCAUUUUAACUUAAUACAUGCAAAUACUUUAAACAAACAAAAAAAAAAAAUUUCAUGAUUUUUCUAAAUAUCAUGGGUCACAUUGUGCCCUCAGAUGAUGUGCUCCAGGUGUUUGCUACUUAUUCUGGUUGUCUACUUCUUGAUGGACGAGCUUUGUGCUUUCCUGAUACCAGACAGACUGCGAGUGAAAAGAGUAAAUAUCACAUUAAUUAUACGUGGAGUUAAUUCUCUUCUUGAGAGAAUAUACAUUUAUAUGCAGCUUUUAAUAUAGCAUUGCAAUUAAAACACUUUAAUAUGUCACAUAUAUUAAAAUGCAUCUGAUCCCCUGCAGAGCAAUCACAGGUCAGAUCAGGAGAUGUCACCACACAUCUAUGAGCUCUCUGAUCUGGCAGACUUGUUCCCAGGAAAUGAAGGAGAAAUGACUCGGGACUGGGACCCCAAUCCAGCCAAGACUCCUGAUUUCUUUUCCCCUGUGGAACACAUCAAUGUGCAACCAGCAAACAGCAACCACCGCAAAAACAAGGAUAAGAGGCGAGUAGGAAUAUUUACUGUUAAUUUUAUGUUAUUGUAUUAAAAAAAUACUAUAUUUAUUCGAAUACAUGUUAUUAAAUAAAAAUUAAUUAAUAUAAUUUUUUUUUGUUGAA